AGUGGAACCGGAGAGAGUUGACGAAGCAUCUGUGGUGAAGACUUUCGUUGUUGCUUUUAGUGAUUUCGUUUGUUGGAUCUGCUUUGGCUGCGUUGGUGGGGUUAUUGGUGUCAGUUGAAGCGUGUAGCGUUGCCCACUUCGGUGGUGUCUUGCUUGCGUGAAGACCGGUCACUGGUAGUCUUUAGCUUUGCUUGCAAAGCACCAAUGUUCAAGUCGACCACCUUUCCGACCCGUCUUGAAACACGGACCGAGGAGUGUAGCUAGUGCGCGAGUCAAAGGGUGUUAAACCCCACGGCGAAAUGAAAGUAAAGGUCAGUUAACUGGCUUAACAUAGGAGUUGUUCUUCUGAGCAAUGCACUAUGGCCCUGUCUUGAAAGCUUGCUUUCGGGCAGAGGAAGAGCGUACUGGUUGCGACCCGAAAGAUGGUGAACUAUGCUUGAGCAGGACGAAGCCAGAGGAAACUCUGGUGGAAGUCCGUAUCGGUUCUGACGUGCAAAUCGAUCGAUAGACUUGAGUAU
rnacentral:rRNA from 1 species